rnacentral:rRNA from 1 species
GACGAACGCUGGCGGCGUGCUUAACACAUGCAAGUCGAACGAUGAACCUUCCAUGAUCUAUUCGUCGAGAUUGGAAGCGGAUUAGUGGCGAACGGGUGAGUCACGCAUGAGCAACCUUCCUUCAACAACGGGAUCGCCUCGGGAAACCGGGAUUAAUACCGUAUGAGACCCCGCCUUCCCCUGCAGAAGCGGUUAAAGAUUUAUCCGUUUAAGCUGGGCUCGCGUCUGAUUAGCUCGUUGGUGAGAUAAAAGCCCCCCAAGGCAACGAUCAGUAACCGGCUUGAGAGAGUGAACGGUCACAUUGGAACUGAGACACGGUCCAAACUCCUACGGGAGGCAGCAGUGGGGAAUAUUGCACAAUGGGGGAAACCCUGAUGCAGCGACGCCGCGUGAGCGAUGAAGGAAUUCGUUUCGUAAAGCUCUGUCCAAGGGGAAGAUAAUGACAGUACCCUUGGAGGAAGCCCCGGCUAAAUACGUGCCAGCAGCCGCAGUAACAC